rnacentral:sRNA from 1 species
GCCGGGCAUGGUGGCUCAUGCCUGUAAUCCUAGCACUUUGGGAGGCUGAGGUGGGCGGAUCACUUGAGAUCAGGAUUUCGAGACCAGACUGGCCAACAUGGUGAAAUCUUGGUCUCUAGUAAAUACACAAAAUUAGCUGGGCAUGGAGGCAGGCACCUAUAAUCCCAGCUACUUAGGAGGCUGAGGCACAAGAAUCGCUUGAAAAUGGGAGGCGGAGGCUGCAGUGAGCUGAGAUCAUGCUACUGCACUCCAGCCUGGGCAACAGAGUGAGACCCCAUCUCA